UACAGAGGGUGCAAGCGUUAAUCGGAAUUACUGGGCGUAAAGCGUGCGCAGUCGGUUAUUUAAGUCGGAUGUGAAAUCCCCGGGCUCAACCUGGGAAUUGCAUUCGAUACUGGAUGGCUAGAGUUCGGCAGAGGGAAGUGGAAUUCCACGUGUAGCAGUGAAAUGCGUAGAGAUCCGGAAGAACACCAAAGGCGAAGGCACCAUCCUGGGGAGUCACUGACGCUCGGGUGCGAAAGCUAGGGGAGCGAACGGG
rnacentral:rRNA from 1 species